ACAAGUAUGGGGAAGAGGCUGAUGACGAUGGAAGCAGUUUUUAUGGAGAAAAGCAGACAUGGAGGUCGCAUAAGAGAAGGAUGCCAUAUGAUCAAUAAGUUUUAGUUUGAGUAUCAACAUUUUAGCAUGACAACUGCUGUCCAGAUCCAUAGUGCAUCUCGUCUGACGCCUAUUUGCUUCUCCAUUUCCCCUCACGUUGCUGCUGCUCCAUUUUGUUGAUGCAUCUCAUCUGAUGAAAGGAGGAACGAUCAGAAAGUUAGCUCUCAUCGUUCUAAGCAUUAUGAGACCGAGCAGAAAAGAGACAUCAUCCCUCAAAAUGACCAGAAAAGAGACAGAGCUUCAUUCUUGUUGGAGGUUUGUAUCCUUGCUAUUGUAUACAACUUCUCUUGUAGCUUCUUGAUGCUUGAGUAUGAGUUUGGGAGUGUUUUUUGUAAAUGAAGGUCAUACAAUAUAUACAGUAUUUAAAAGAAAAUUUACAUGUGUAUGAAGGAGCAUAUCAAGGUUGGAGUCCAGAGCCCACAAAAUUGAUGACAUGGGUAUAAUCUAUCAUCACUAUCACAUCUGCAUGUUGUUAUUGUGAUAUUCUUACUUGUUAGGAUAUAAUCUGUAGGGUUUAGGAAUGGUCCAAUUUGUACAUUGAUUUUUCUCAUAAAAUCCUUCUUUUUUACACCACCAGUAUAACCCACCACAUUUUGGUACCCCACCAAAUUUGAUUGUUUCUAUAUACAUCUUGGUAUUUAUCUGGAACAUAGCUUUUAUAUCUGGAACUGGAACUGGAACCUUCGGUUCAUCAACAAAAGAUGGUUUGGUCAUUCAAGUGCUUCUCAACUGACC